UACGUAGGAGACGAGCGUUGUCCGGAAUUACUGGGCGUAAAGCGCGUGUAGGCGGAUGGUCAAGUCUGCUGUGAAAGCUCCUGGCUUAACCGGGAGUGGUCGGUGGAAACUGCCAAUCUGGAGGACGGUAGAGGUAGGUAGAAUUCCCGGUGUAGUGGUGAAAUGCGUAGAGAUCGGGAGGAACACCGGUGGCGAAGGCGGGUCUCUGGGCAACAACUGACGCUGAGGAGCGAAAGCGUGGGGAGCGAACAGG
rnacentral:rRNA from 1 species